GAGUUUGAUCAUGGCUCAGGAGGAACGCUGGCGGCGUGCCUAACACAUGCAAGUCGAGCGAGAAAUAGUCAGACGGAGAUUUCGGUUGAAGGAUGGUUAUGGAAAGCGGCGGACGGGUGAGUAACGCGUAGGCAACCUGCCUCAUGCAGAGGGAUAGCCUCGGGAAACCGGGAUUAAAACCUCAUAAGGCCAAGGGGACACAUGUUUUCGUGGUCAAAGAUUUAUCGGCAUGAGAUGGGCCUGCGUCUGAUUAGCUGGUUGGUGAGGUAACGGCUCACCAAGGCGACGAUCAGUAGCCGACCUGAGAGGGUAAACGGCCACAUUGGAACUGAGACACGGUCCAAACUCCUACGGGAGGCAGCAGUGGGGAAUAUUGCACAAUGGGCGAAAGCCUGAUGCAGCAACGCCGCGUGAGCGAAGAAGGCCUUUGGGUCGUAAAGCUCUGUCGAUAGGGAAGAAAAA
rnacentral:rRNA from 1 species